GAGUUUGAUCCUGGCUCAGGAUGAACGCUAGCGGCAGGCUUAAUACAUGCAAGUCGAGGGGCAGCAGCUUUAUAGCAAUAUAGAGGCUGGCGACCGGCAAACGGGUGCGGAACACGUACACAACCUUCCUUGAAUAGGGGGAUAGCCCAUAGAAAUGUGGAUUAAUACCCCGUAAUAUAGCGGUGUGGCAUCACACUGUUAUUAUAGUUUCGGCGAUUCGAGAUGGGUGUGCGGCUGAUUAGGUAGUUGGCGGGGUAAAGGCCCACCAAGCCUUCGAUCAGUAGCUGAUGUGAGAGCAUGAUCAGCCACACGGGCACUGAGACACGGGCCCGACUCCUACGGGAGGCAGCAGUAAGGAAUAUUGGUCAAUGGACGCAAGUCCGAACCAGCCAUGCCGCGUGAAGGAUGAAGGUCCUCUGGAUUGUAAACUUCUUUUAUAGGGGGCGAAAAAAGGUCUUUCUAGAUCACUGACAGUACCG
rnacentral:rRNA from 1 species